rnacentral:rRNA from 1 species
GAUGAACGCUGGCGGCGUGCCUAAUACAUGCAAGUCGAGCGAACAGACGAGGAGCUUGCUCCUCUGACGUUAGCGGCGGACGGGUGAGUAACACGUGGAUAACCUACCUAUAAGACUGGGAUAACUUCGGGAAACCGGAGCUAAUACCGGAUAAUAUAUUGAACCGCAUGGUUCAAUAGUGAAAGACGGUUUUGCUGUCACUUAUAGAUGGAUCCGCGCCGCAUUAGCUAGUUGGUAAGGUAACGGCUUACCAAGGCAACGAUGCGUAGCCGACCUGAGAGGGUGAUCGGCCACACUGGAACUGAGACACGGUCCAGACUCCUACGGGAGGCAGCAGUAGGGAAUCUUCCGCAAUGGGCGAAUGCCUGACGUAGCAACGCCGCGUGAGUGAUGAAGGUCUUCGGAUCGUAAAACUCUGUUAUUAGGGAAGAACAAAUGUGUAAGUAACUAUGCACGUCUUGACGGUACCUAAUCAGAAAGCCACGGCUAACUACGUG